GCUCUGCAGUAGCUCAGUUGGUAGAGACUGAGACCCUUCAUCUCAGGGUGAGGGUUUCAAGCCCCAUCUUGGGCA